rnacentral:rRNA from 1 species
UGGUUUGUCGCGUUGUUCGUGAAAUCUCACGGCUUAACUGUGAGCGUGCGGGCGAUACGGGCAGACUUGAGUACUGCAGGGGAGACUGGAAUUCCUGGUGUAGCGGUGGAAUGCGCAGAUAUCAGGAGGAACACCGGUGGCGAAGGCGGGUCUCUGGGCAGUAACUGACGCUGAGGAGCGAAAGCGUGGGGAGCGAACAGGAUUAGAUACCCUGGUAGUCCACGCCGUAAACGGUGGGUACUAGGUGUGGGUUUCCUUCCUUGGGAUCCGUGCCGUAGCUAACGCAUUAAGUACCCCGCCUGGGGAGUACGGCCGCAAGGCUAAAACUCAAAGAAAUUGACGGGGGCCCGCACAAGCGGCGGAGCAUGUGGAUUAAUUCGAUGCAACGCGAAGAACCUUACCUGGGUUUGACAUGCACAGGACGCCGGCAGAGAUGUCGGUUCCCUUGUGGCCUGUGUGCAGCUGGUGCAUGGCUGUCGUCAGCUCGUGUCGUGAGAUUGUUUGGGUUAAGUCCCGCA